UACGUAGGUGGCAAGCGUUGUCCGGAUUUACUGGGCGUAAAGGGCGUGCAGGCGGUCUGUUAAGUCUAGGGUGAAAGCUCCCGGCUCAACUGGGAGAGGUCCUUGGAUACUGGCGGACUUGAGGGAGGCAGAGGAGAAUAGAAUUCCCGGUGUAGUGGUGAUAUGCGUAGAUAUCGGGAGGAAUACCAGUGGCGAAGGCGGCUUCCUGGCCUGUUCUUGACGCUGAGGCGCAAAAGCUGGGGGGAGCAAACGGG
rnacentral:rRNA from 1 species